CAGUCGCCGCGGUAACACGGAGGGGGCUAGCGUUGUUCAGAAUUACUGGGCGUAAAGCGCACGUAGGCGGCUUGGUAAGUUAGAGGUGAAAGCCUGGAGCUCAACUCCAGAAUUGCCUUUAAGACUGCCGAGCUAGCAGGUGAGAGAGGUAAGUGGAAUUCCGAGUGUAGAGGUGAAAUUCGUAGAUAUUCGGAAGAACACCAGUGGCGAAGGCGGCUUACUGGCUCAUACUGGACGCUGAGGUGCGAAAGCGUGGGGAGCAAACAGGAUUAGAUACCCCUGUAGUCCCUGUCUCUUAUAC
rnacentral:rRNA from 1 species